AUCCCAGUGCACGGGCAUUACGCGUAUCAGUGAGGAUUCGUCCGAGAUCGUGUUUUUGCUAGUUGAAAACUACUUAAAUGUUGACUGCUCUUCUUGGUACCUUCGGGAUCGAGAGGGAAUUUUUGGAAAAAAAAAACCGUCGCAAGACUUUU
rnacentral:snRNA from 1 species